rnacentral:sRNA from 2 species
AUAUCUCUCUGUACGGGAAGGAUGAGAAGCUUCGACUAAGGUUCGAUUCGAGCGCAGCGAGAAAGCGUUGCCGCAGGC